ensembl:lncRNA
GUUGAGUUAGCAGCAGGGAGGAGGUGGGCAAGGAUGGGCUGUGGGCACAGCGGGUGCUGACGGCGGAUUGGUGUACAUUUCGCCCCCCAGCUGUGCUGCGUCACCGCCCACAUCUCCUGCUGGGGGCUGCGCGCUGUGACAGCCCAGGGAGCUCCAUGGGCGGAGCGCUGCACGCAGAGCCCCAGCUCCGGUGUGAGGGGUCAGCGCUCACUGAGCCCCGUGAGGGGCUGCGAUGCGGCCCCAGCCUAUUUGUAGACAUUGCAAAUAAAGCUGACAGCACUGACAGAGAACAACCUGAGGACACCGCCUGCAGGGAGACCCCACCGCAGCUGCAGGCUCUGAAGUUGUUCAAUAAAUUCCUGGAGAGACACGAAGGUUGGAGGAGAGCGCUCAGAUCAGCACCGCCAGCCCAUCCCCGGCCGUGCACACUGCCCACGUCCCGCAGCGUCACUCGGAAGGUUUCCUUUUUGUUCCAUGGAUCCGUUCAGUUCCCUGCUUUGUUUUUAAAGAGAAAAAAAAAGAGAAAAUCCUGUCAUUAAUAAAUAAAUAAAUAACAAGAAUAAAAAGCCUCCUGGAAACUGCAGCAUUCUGCAAAAAUGACUGUGAAAUUUAUGGAACGACAGCUAAAUUGAAUGAGAUUAGGAAGAAAAUGGCCUGUCUAUUUAUGUGAAGAGUUUUCAGAGUUAUCAUAAUUAAUUACAACAAACAUUUCGUAAUGCACAUUAAAUGGAGGCUGGAGGCUCGGGCGGCUCCCAGCACUGCGCUGAUCACACAGCAGAGGGAGG